UACAGAGGUGGCAAGCGUUGUUCGGAAUUACUGGGCGUAAAGGGUUCGUAGGCGGUGCGGUAAGUCGGAAGUGAAAUCUCUGGGCUUAACUCAGAGGCUGCUUUCGAAACUGCCGUGCUGGAGUGCGGGAGAGGCGAGUGGAAUUGCAGGUGUAGCGGUGAAAUGCGUAGAUAUCUGCAGGAACACCCGUGGCGAAGGCGGCUCGCUGGACCGCAACUGACGCUGAGGAACGAAAGCUAGGGGAGCAAACAGG
rnacentral:rRNA from 1 species